rnacentral:tRNA from 1 species
UCAAAAACAGUCCUGAGACGCUAACUUUGGGAGUUAGAGAGUGACUGAUAGUCAUUUUUGAA